GUUUAAACAGUUGGGACGAACACGCCUGGAGACCCGGCGAAGGCGCUGGUGUCGGAGCUUCGCCUCCCUGAUUUGGAGUUGCAGAACCUUGCCCCGCUUUAUCUCACCCAACUGCCCGCUCAGGCUGCCAAGGGCAAACCGAGAAGUCUCUUGGUCCGAGAGUCGUCAGUAUUGUCCACCAAGAGCUUCUCUUCCCAGCAGAGCACGCACACCACACCAGAGAUGGCGUCCUUGAACGCUGUGCAAUACUACAACAUGCCAUAACCUUUGCAAGUUUCUUUUCACGCACGACAUAACUUAAAAAAUAAAAAAGAUCAAGUUAUAAAAUAA